GACGAACCGUGCGAACGUUGUUCGGAAUCACUGGGCUUAAAGGGCGCGUAGGCGGUCUGCCAAGUCCGGGGUGAAAGCCCCCAGCUCAACUGGGGAAGUGCCUCGGAUACUGGCGGACUUGAGGGAGGCAGGGGUUGUGGGAACUUCCGGUGGAGCGGUGAAAUGCGUUGAUAUCGGAGGGAACGCCGGUGGCGAAAGCGCACAACUGGUCCUCUUCUGACGCUGAGGCGCGAAAGCCAGGGGAGCAAACGGG
rnacentral:rRNA from 1 species